UUCAUAACUGAGGCCUUCUGAAGGUGGAAUAGAUGGAGAGAGAAAGAGUUGGCUGAGGAACUACUUAACACUGGUUAGGAGUCAGCAGGGAUUUGGUAUACAGGUUUGCGGAGGAAAGUGCAUACAGAAGGAGAAAGGAUAAUGAGACGCUUUCCAUUUAAAUUUGAAAACUGCUUGGGUUGUCCUUACAAAUUUAUCUUUCCAGUGAACAUCAGAGUUGAAAUUCCUCUUGCCAAUUUUUCUAUUUCCACAAGUUGGUGGGACACACGCUGUCCAGAAUACUGGCCACAUGUGAUUGGAAGAACAGAAAACUUAGUGAGAGAUGAGAAGCAGAUUCCUAUUGAGGUCUACUGAGGUUUGAGUAUGGCCAAGAGAUGCAGUAGUGUGCAGUGUCACUGACUGAAGGCAGCCAUAUCACAUUUGUAACAAGUUCAUUCCAGGACCUCAAGUGCCUGUGAAACUAAACUUGAUGUUGUAAUAACUGCCUUUCACUUCAGAUCAAGAAUGUACUCUGGAAAUGAGAAGACUUUGCAUGCUAUUUCGCAGUUUUGCUGCCUGACAGGUGAAUCUAUAUAGCAGCCAAUUCCCUCCCUUCUCGUGCCCCUGCUGUGAUGGUGCUUUUUUUUUCUCUGGGCAUUUGUAAUUCUGGGGGGUAUGAACAGAAGAAUCAGGAAAGAUGUGAAAAGACGUCAUCAAUUAUUUCAAAUAAAUCUAAUAAACUGAA